GAGGAAAUGCCAGGAAGUUUCGAGAGGGGAUGCACAAGGCAAGCUGACUCGGCCUCACAGCGGAGGUCACCGUGGUCAGGCCUCCAUGGGCCGGAAAGCAGCGACAAGCGAGGUGAUACCCCAAGGCAGGGAGCCCCCAGCCCGGAUUGGCCAGUCUGUGUCCCCGGUCCUGCUCCUCAGAGAGAGGCAUCUCGCCAUCCUUGUGACCUGGCCCUGGCAUCUCGCUGCUCAUCCUGCAGAGUGGAGCUCUUCACAGGCUGGGCUGGAAGUUGUGUGAACUGGAUGGAGAGAUUUUCCACGUGCUUCUCCAAGUGUGGAGACAGUGGUCCUGCCUGCAGUGCUGAGGGGCAGGUCCCCAGAGCUCAGCUCAGCCGUCUAGGGCGGCGGCUCCUUUUGCUUGAGACCACGUGGGCGCCAGGCAGACGCCACCCAGCUCCUGCGGGAAGUCACACGUGAGAGCUGCCACACCACAGACACGCCCUCAGCUCUCAUCAGACGAAAGUGGCCGCCUUGGCCUGAGAAGCACCUCUGUCUCAAGCUGCCAGCCAAGGGCUAAAGGACGCUCAGUCCGUGUCCCCAUUCACCUGCUCACUGGCAGCCACCAACCACCACCCAACCCAACUCUAGAAACUUCCUCACUCAGACGCAGCUUGAGGGCCUGGGGGCAUGGCUCCCAGUUAGAAGGCUCCUGCUGAGCUCUGCCCAGCUAGGUGAGCAGUUCCAGGUCCAAGGGGCCUCUGUGCCACCUUCCUGUGUGCCAUCUUCCUGGGUGCCACCUUCCUGGGCGCCACCUUCCUGGGCGCCACCUUCCUGGGUGCCACCUGCAGCAGCCGCGAUAGGAAGGUCCUUUCUCCUGGGCUGGACUGGAGCCUUCUGGAUAGCGGGUUGGUGAUGAUGGAGAACGAGCUUGGGCUGGUGCCUGGUGUCCCUCGUGUCACCCUCAGCCUGUUCCUUAGCUGGGCCCCAGUCGUCAGCUGGGAGACUCCCUGGGACACCUUCAGAGGAGGGAGGCUGGCUGUCGGAACUUCCUGUGCUCUUGGUGGUUUUCUGUACUUUGGUGCAUCUCAAGGCAUCUGAACUCUGUACGAUGGAGCAUCAGUCUCCAUUUAAAAAUCAGUCAUCUUCAAAGCUCAGGUCAAGUUUGAGUCUGGGGCUCAGGAUCGCAUUUACCCACUGCAGCUCUCUUCCCAGGUGGGCUUCCCAGGCGUCAGAGGGCGUAAGCUGCUGAAAUUCACAAAUUCAGGUUGCUCAGGCUCCCUGCAGACAGUACAACAGAGCACCUGGCAGUGACUGUACACUUGGAAAACCUGGUUGUCACCCCUGGGGGUGCCCAGCAGAGCAAGAGGCGGGACAGGCUGAAUCCUGCUUCAUAAGAAAGCUACUUUCCUAUGUGUGUCCCCAAAGUACUUUGGGUUAUUUUUCCCCUUUGCUGUCUUUUUCCAAAUUUCCCUUUUUCACCUUGCCAUUUUCCUUUACAUUUUUUCUCUCAGGUCUUUUUAAUUCCCCUUUGUUGUUAGAUGUUAUUUAUCUUUAAAUAAACUAUCUCAACAAGCUAUUUCAGCAUAUAUUAAGUUUGGGAAAGGGGGAGCCAGUGGUAUGCAGAAGAGGGUAUUUCUAGUUUUCACCGAAUAUUCUAGAGGUUGAGAUUAGCAAUAGGCUAAUGGAACAAAUAUGUGAUGGGAAAUUUAAAUGCUAGAUUCAGUGGAAUUCUGCUUUCCAUGCAGAGACUCAAGCUGAAGGAUUGUUCUAGGACUCCAGAAACAGCUGAACCCAGAAGUGAAACUCGUCACAGAGCAAAGGCAGGCAGUGUGAGCCCUGCCGUACAGAUGAAGAAACCAGGGCUCAGAGAACAUUAACAACUUGCCUCAGUCGACACAGCUGAAAGGUGGAUCAGCCUGGAUUUGAAUUGGCUCUGUCCGGAUCCCACACCAAUGACCUAGCUUCUAUGGCAUCUUAUCCACGAAGUGACAGAACGGUCCUCCUGUCUUACCUGUGCCCCUCACCAUCCCCUUCCCAACGCAGAGGCUGAUCAAAAGGUCCACGUGCUCAUUGCUGAGAAGACAGAGACAUCGGGAGAGGUGCUGUGAGAACAAAAAAAAAUGGUUCUUAAGUGGAUCCUGGUCCCAGUGGGAAAUUAAAAUUAACCUUAGGCAAGAAUUUAAAUCAAUUUUAAAGAGCUACCCAAGAGAAAGAAUUUUCUGGUUGACCUUGACUCUUGAAAAUGCUUCUGAGUACAGCUAUUUCCAUCUCUAAUCUCUGGAUACAGCAGUAACAGCUUCACAUUCUCAAAGGAUGACCAACACCGUAGCUAAACCGAACCCCAGGCAACAAACAAGGAAAUCCACGUCUUUGUUUCAAGUGAUCAAACCUUGGAACAUGAAAUUUUCCUGGAGACGUCACCUUUUAAGGUUGGGUGGAACUUUAGA
ensembl:lncRNA